rnacentral:rRNA from 1 species
AGAGUUUGAUCCUGGCUCAGGAUGAACGCUAGCUACAGGCUUAACACAUGCAAGUCGAGGGGCAGCGGGAUUGAAGCUUGCUUCAAUUGCCGGCGACCGGCGCACGGGUGAGUAACGCGUAUCCAACCUUCCGUACACUCAGGGAUAGCCUUUCGAAAGAAAGAUUAAUACCUGAUGGUAUGAUGAAAUUGCAUGAUAGCAUCAUUAAGAUUUAUCGGUGUACGAUGGGGAUGCGUUCCAUUAGGUAGUAGGCGGGGUAACGCCACCUAGCCUACGAUGGAUAGGGGUUCUGGAGAGGAAGGUCCCCCANAUUGGAACUGAGACACGGUCCAAACUCCGUACGGGAGGCCA